GAUGAACGCUAGCGGGAGGCUUAACACAUGCAAGUCGAGGGGCAGCAUGGGGUAGCAAUACCCUGAUGGCGACCGGCAGACGGGUGAGUAACGCGUAUGUAACCUACCCUGUACAGGGGGAUAACCCGGAGAAAUUCGGACUAAUAUCCCAUAGAAAUAUUGGAAGGCAUCUUUUGAUAUUUAAAGUUCCGGCGGUACGGGAUGGGCAUGCGUAACAUUAGCUAGUUGGUAAGGUAAAGGCUUACCAAGGCUUUGAUGUUUAGGGGUCCUGAGAGGGUGGUCCCCCACACUGGUACUGAGACACGGACCAGACUCCUACGGGAGGCAGCAGUGAGGAAUAUUGGUCAAUGGGCGCAAGCCUGAACCAGCCAUCCCGCGUGCAGGAAGACGGCGCUAUGCGUUGUAAACUGCUUUUCCAGGGGGAGAAACUUGCGCACGUGUUGCGCAAUUGACGGUACCCUGGGAAUAAGCAUCGGCUAACUCCGUGCCAGCAGCCGCGGUAAAUCUCG
rnacentral:rRNA from 1 species